CCCGGGUGGCUGCAGUGGGGAAUAUUGGACAAUGGGCGAAAGCCUGAUCCAGCCAUGCCGCGUGUGUGAAGAAGGCCUUCGGGUUGUAAAGCACUUUCAGUGGGGAAGAAAGCCUUGGGGCUAAUACCCUCGAGGAAGGACAUCACCCACAGAAGAAGCACCGGCUAACUCCGUGCCAGCAGCCGCGGUAAUACGGAGGGUGCGAGCGUUAAUCGGAAUUACUGGGCGUAAAGCGCGCGUAGGCGGUCUGAUAAGCCGGUUGUGAAAGCCCCGGGCUCAACCUGGGAACGGCAUCCGGAACUGUCAGGCUAGAGUGCAGGAGAGGAAGGUAGAAUUCCCGGUGUAGCGGUGAAAUGCGUAGAGAUCGGGAGGAAUACCAGUGGCGAAGGCGGCCUUCUGGACUGACACUGACGCUGAGGUGCGAAAGCGUGGGUAGCAAACAGGAUUAGAUACCCCUGUAGUC
rnacentral:rRNA from 1 species